AAGGAGCACGCACGCGGUGGAAACCCUAGCCGCCAGCCCAUCUCUUCCCAAUCCCCAUGUCUCUCCCCUACUCCAAUCCCCACGUCAUGUCUCCCUUCUCCAAUCUCCUCCCUGCCCACUCCCCUUCUCCUCCUCCACAACCAUCUCUUGGCUGAUUCGCCGCCGCUCCAUCUUCUGGCCGAGCUGGCCGAGCCACGCGUCUUCUCCUCGCCGAGCUUGUUGAACAGCCCCGCGCAUUCUCCUCUUCCAUGCUCUACCUCGUUCUUCCCCACAGCAAGAAAAGUUCGUGUUCUAGGUCUUGGAGGAAGAAGAAGAGGUGGGAAGAGGAGGAGUAAGAGGAGGAGAAGGAAGAAGAGAAGAUCCCCACUUUUCCUGUCUGAUUCCUCCAGAUCCAGCUCUAAAGUAAAGCUAAUGCAUCAGAGAGGACGAUGGUUGCUGGUCGGGGAUAACUCAGUCUUUUUGGUUUAACGAUUCUGGAAAACUUAUUGAAGUAAGAAUUAUAAUCUCUACUACUUAAAAAGAAGGAACGUGUUCCCCCUUCUCCCCCUCCUUUCGUCGUUCUCUUUGGUCGUCCGUCUCCCAUCCCUUCGUCGCCCACCCGCCUGGGCCAGGCAUCAACAUGGGCCGACCUCAGCCCAUCGCCUCAACCGCAUCACCUCGCCCAGGUACCAACCGCAUCAGGAAUUAAAUCAUGCGACAUGAGUCACGCUACAAAGGAAAAAAAUCAAUCUCACUUAAAUGACCAGGUAUCACGCUCCAAAGGUAUGUAAUCUCACAAUAACGCUAACACAAUUAAAUCAAUUAAAUGAGAACAUGGGGCGAGAUAUAUGCAGUCACAAAGGUAUGUAAUCUCACCCAGACAUUAGGCAGGUAUCAUCUCAUGCAAAAGGUAUGUAAUCUCCGCAGUAAUCACGAAACAAAGGUAUGUAAUCUCAUCAAGGCUAGAAUGACGCAAUCUCAUUACUGUCAAUUAAAGGGGAACCUGAAUUGCACCCAGGAUGCAGUCAUAUCUCUACUACUAAAGCAGGACCUGCACGAGACAUAUCGUUUACCUGGGACGAUCUUCAAACAUCUUUAGAUGAUCGUCGCGCAUGUCGCUGCUGCAGAAAAGCCGCCGAGAUCUACCGGUACCCUGGAGGUACAAGCCAUAAUAAGAAUUUCCUUCAAGAUGUGAUAUCUUCGUGAUCUAAAGCUGUUCAUCAUCAAGGACGGUACACGCCAUCUUCAAAGGAUUGUCCACGCCCGUCCCUGCUGCAGCGCUGCCCGGCCGCCGAGAUCCACUGGUACACUGCAGGUACACGCCAUCAUUAGAUUUUUUUCUUAUAGACAUG